rnacentral:rRNA from 1 species
UCAGUUCGGAUUGGAGUCUGCAACCCGACUCCAUGAAGCUGGAUUCGCUAGUAAUCGCGCAUCAGCCACGGCGCGGUGAAUACGUUCCCGGGCCUUGUACACACUGCCCGUCAAGCCAUGGAAGCCGGGGGGUGCCUGAAGUGCGUGACCGCAAGGAGCGCCCUAGGGUAAAACCGGUGACUGGGGCUAAGUCGUAACAAGGUAUC